AUUUCCGAAUGGGGAAACCCAGUGUGAUUCGUCACACUAUCAUUAACUGAAUCCAUAGGUUAAUGAGGCGAACCGGGGGAACUGAAACAUCUAAGUACCCCGAGGAAAAGAAAUCAACCGAGAUUCCCCCAGUAGCGGCGAGCGAACGGGGAGGAGCCCAGAGCCUGAAUCAGCAUGUGUGUUAGUGGAAGCGUCUGGAAAGGCGCGCGAUACAGGGUGACAGCCCCGUACACAAAAGCGCAUGUGCUGUGAGCUCGAUGAGUAGGGCGGGACACGUGGUAUCCUGUCUGAAUAUGGGGGGACCAUCCUCCAAGGCUAAAUACUCCUGACUGACCGAUAGUGAACCAGUACCGUGAGGGAAAGGCGAAAAGAACCCCGGCGAGGGGAGUGAAAAAGAACCUGAAACCGUGUACGUACAAGCAG
rnacentral:rRNA from 1 species